AGCAGCCGCGGUAAUUCCAGCUCCAAUAGCGUAUAUUAAAAGUUGUUGCAGUUAAAAAGCUCGUAGUUGAAUUUCGGGAUCAAUAUGUUGGUCGUGCCUCGGUACGUACUAGCUUAUUGGUUUCUCCUUUCUGAAGAACCAUGAUGUCAUUUAUUUGGUGUCGUGGGGAAUCAGGACUGUUACUUUGAAAAAUUAGAGUGUUUAAAGCAGGCUCACGCUUGAAUACAUUAGCAUGGAAUAAUGAAAUAGGACGUUUGAUUCUAUUUUGUGGUUUUUUAGGAUCGACGUAAUGAUUAAUAGGGAUAGUUGGGGGCAUUAGUAUUCAAUUGUCAGAGGUUGGAAUUCUUGGGAUUUAUUGAAGACUAACUACUGCGAAAAGCA
rnacentral:rRNA from 1 species